UCCCUGAGACCCUUAACCUGUGAGGGCAGCGCAGAAUUCACAGGUGAGGUUCUUGGGAACC
rnacentral:pre_miRNA from 1 species